rnacentral:rRNA from 1 species
UCUCUCAAUCCGAUUAGAGUUAGAUCCUGGCUCAGGACGAUCUCUCGCGGCGCGCUUAACACAUGCAAGUCGAGCGAGAACCGGGACUUCGGUCCCGGGGACAGCGGCGAACGGGUGAGUAACACGUGAGUAACCUACCCUCGGCACCGGAAUAGCCCGGGGAAACUCGGAUUAAUGCCGGAUAGCCCCACGAUCCCUCGGGAUACGUGGGAAAAGGUAGCUUCGGCCUCUGGCCGAGGAUGGGCUCGCGGCGGAUUAGCUUGUUGGCGGGGUAACGGCCCACCAAGGCGACGAUCCGUAGCUGGUCUGAGAGGACGAUCAGCCACACUGGGACUGAGACACGGCCCAGACUCCUACGGGAGGCAGCAGUGGGGAAUCUUGCGCAAUGGGCGAAAGCCUGACGCAGCGACGCCGCGUGGGGGAAGAAGGCCUUAGGGUUGUAAACCUCUUUCAGGUGGGACGAAGCCACUCGGGUGAAUAGCCCAGAGGGUGACGGUACCGCCAGAAGAAGCCCCGGGCUAACUACGUGCCAGCAGCCGCGGGUAAUACGUAGGGGCAAGCGUUGUCCGGAUUUAUUGGGCAUAAAAGCGUGUAGGCGCCAAGUAGUCGGUUGUGAAACUGGAAGGCUUAACCUUCAGACGUCGACGGAAACCCCUGGCUAGGAGUCCGGAGA